rnacentral:rRNA from 1 species
AUGGCGUGCGUGACAGUUCCGGCGGCCACGGCGGAGAUGGAGCGCGCCUUUGCUCUACCCCCGGGGUAUCGGUUCCACCCCACGGACCAUGAGCUGGUGAAUUGGUUCCUCAAGCGCAAGCUCCUCGGCCUCCCCAUCGACCUCGACUUCAUCCCGGUGGUGGACGUCUACAGGUUCGAGCCGGACCAACUACCAGACAAAUCAUUCUCACCGAGCACAGGCGACCCAGGGGCUAAAGUUGAGUGGUACUUUUUUGCGCCGAGGGUUCGAAAGUACCCAACCGGCCUUCGCAUGGAGCGGGCGACGCUAAAAGGGUUUUGGAAGUCUACGGGGAAGGACCGUCCAGUCAUCCACAACGGCAUCGUAGUCGGCAUGAAGAAGACGCUUGUGUUUCAUAUCGGCAAAGCACCUAGGGGCACACGGACCAACUGGGUCAUGCACGAGUACCGCCUCCAUCCCGAUCACCGUAUCCAUGACACCUACGUGCUAUGUCGGAUCUUCAACAAGAACACCAUGACCCAAUCACCAGACCUGCUCAGUGGCGUCGACAUGGAUGAGGAAGGGAUGCAUUUGGUGGCCAACAACGCCGACAUGGACAACGAAGGGUUCCAGCCGAUGUCCGGCGGUGCCAAUGCCAGCAAGGAAGCAAUCCACCCCGUGUUCCACAACGCCAACACGGACAAGGAAGGGAUCAAUCCUGUGUCAGGUAACAUCGUCGGGGACAUGGAAGGGAUCUAUCCCAUGCCAGGCGACAUCUUUGCGGACAUGGCAGGGGUACAUCCCAUGUUCGGCGGCGCCGUCCCACACAACGAAGAGACCGAUCCAAUGUCAGAUAGCGUCGUCAGGGACAUGGAAGGGAUCCAUCCUAUGUCAGAUAGCUUCAUCCCGGACAUGGAAGGGAUACAUCCCGUGUUCGGCGGCGCCGUCCCACACAACGAAGAGACCGAUCCCAUGUCAGCAGGUGUUUACACGGAUGUGGAUUUUUCCUGGAUGCAGCUUGUGCCUGACGACAUUUGCUGCCCCAACAUUGAACUAGAUAAGGAUGACUCCUGGGGGCUCAACAGUGUGUCAAACUCGAAUCUAAUCCCUCGGCCGGUGGUACAAGCUAGCAAGAUCGAUGCCGCGCGUGUGGGUGGGCGAAGCACGGUGAGGCGGGAAGCGGACGGCAUGUUUGCAGGCGCACAAGACAUGAUGAUGCCGAGCGGCUGCACCAAGGGCGGGCGAGCGUACGUACCUGGUCAGCGACUACUCCGGCCGGCCGGCGCGUGGUGCCCAGCGUGGUCGAGGAGGACGACCGAGAAGAGCCCAAGUCUUGGCGCUGUCGAGGAGGACGUACGUGAUGGUGAUGUCCCGGUGAACCAUCCAUCCAUCUCCUCGGCCAGGCCCUGCUUGGACUUGGAGGCUGGGAUGAUAGCUGGUGGAGUGGUCCUGGUCGCCCCCUCGCCCAGGCCCCAGGUGAGCUUGCUUGUACUUGGUGGCUGGGAUCGCUGGUGGAGUGGUCGCCCCCUCGCCCUCAACGCAGCACCCCACCACCGCCAGGUUCGGGUGCUUCACGGCUGGACGCCGGCGCACACGGAGCAGACGAACCAACAGCGGCACCUCCACCACCACCAGCACCACCUCCACCAUCUCUCUCUCUCUCUCCCCCUCUCCCCCAGUAUGAUAUUUUUCUUCCUUUUCAGAUCUGGAUCUUUAGAAGCCUAG